GGGCCCGCACAAGCGGUGGAGCAUGUGGUUUAAUUCGAUGAUACGCGAGGAACCUUACCAGGGCUUAAAUGUUAGGUGACAGAUCUAGAAAUAGAUUUUUCUUCGGACACUUAAAGCAGUGGCUUGCAUGGUUGUCGUCAGCUCGUGCCGUGAGGUGUCAGGUUAAGUCCUAUAACGAGCGCAACCCCUGUUGUUAGUUGCCAGCGAGUAAUGUCGGGAACUCUAGCAAGACUGCCAGUGCAAACUGUGAGGAAGGUGGGGAUGACGUCAAAUCAUCACGGCCCUUACGUCCUGGCUACACACGUGCUACAAUGGUAGGUACAGAAAGCAGCCACUAUGCGAAUAGGAG
rnacentral:rRNA from 1 species